rnacentral:rRNA from 1 species
AUUGAACGCUGGCGGCAGGCUUAACACAUGCAAGUCGAACGGAACCUUCGGGUUUAGUGGCGAACGGGUGAGUAACACCUAGGAAUCUGCCUAUUAGUGGGGGAUAACGGCUCGAAAGGGUCGCUAAUACCGCAUACGUCCUACGGGAGAAAGAGGGGGAUCUUCGGACCUCUUGCUAAUAGAUGAGCCUAGGCCGGAUUAGCUAGUUGGUAGGGUAAAGGCCUACCAAGGCGACGAUCCGUAGCUGGUCUGAGAGGAUGAUCAGCCACACUGGAACUGAGACACGGUCCAGACUCCUACGGGAGGCAGCAGUGGGGAAUAUUGGACAAUGGGGGCAACCCUGAUCCAGCCAUGCCGCGUGUGUGAAGAA